CACGUAGGGCGCAAGCGUUGUCCGGAAUUAUUGGGCGUAAAGAGCUCGUAGGCGGUCUGUUGCGUCCGCUGUGAAAACUCGGGGCUUAACCCCGAGCCUGCAGUGGAUACGGGCAGACUAGAGGUAGGUAGGGGAGAAUGGAAUUCCCGGUGUAGCGGUGAAAUGCGCAGAUAUCGGGAGGAACACCGGUGGCGAAGGCGGUUCUCUGGGAAUAUUCUGACGCUGAGGAGCGAAAGUGUGGGGAGCGAACAGG
rnacentral:rRNA from 1 species